CGAAGGGAGAGGGUUUAAUCUAAACGGAGUGCAUUAAAGAAAAUUGUUAAUACGCAAACUAUAUUUUACCAGAGGAAAUAUCGAUCCGGUGAGAGAACCACCAUUGGAAAAAAUACAUAAGAAAAUCCUCCCGUUAUAAGAAAUCAGCAACCCGAAUAUGAAUGUCCACUUCAACACGUGAGUGCUCUAAUUUCAUUGAGAUCUAAAAACUUAUCAGCCACAUCGCCAUCUAAAGCAGGACUUGACCACCCGAAUCACACUUGUAUCCCAAACAUACGAGUACACAUAUGUACGUUCGUACACGCAAUGGACGACGACGAGAGACCCUGAUUAAAUACAUAUGUAUGUCGCCACCUCAAAAUUCCAUAAGUAACCAUACCUCAACAAAAUCCAGACACAUUGAUUCAUAGGUACGCAUAUUUUGUAAGAUUCAGAUGUCAACGAAAUCCAUGCAACGUGACUUUAAACUUUUGGGUCAUUCCUAAUUCAGUUCAGGGAUUUUAUCCCAAUCUCAUUUCUUUAGCUUCCACUUAACACUGUGCAUUGCAAUUUUUUGAAUUUUACUAUAGCUCAUACUUUACUAAAAAUUCUGUUGUUUUAUGAAGAGACACUUAUCGUAACAUAAUAUCUUACUUUUGAGACAUUUCGAACCGGUCAGGUACAUAAUUACACCAAUUAUUGUAUGCACAAUCGAAUGUGUUUCACGUUUUAAAAUGGGAUCACCGUGGUUAAUUGAGGAAUGUUAAACUACCUACACUCUUAGCAACUUGGUAACAAAACCAAGAAUUUCGUUAACACCAACCGUCGGUGUCAACCUCAAUUCCACUAAACAGUGUCAAACCGUUGUGUAAAAAUGACACUGAGCAAAAACAACGCGUCGACACGCUACUGGUAUCAGCGAUAUUCCUGCAAUAGUGUCGAAUUGACACGGUGCGAUGUUACCGCAGUAAGCAAGACUUCGACUCAACACAAAAUUGUGUCAGUCUCUUCCUCGUGUUGGCAUGGUUCUGCUUGGCGGCCGUUUUUCGUCAUCCACAAAAACGUCAACAAAAUGGAUAAAUUAAUUAUUUUGUUCAAUAGAUUUCGAGGGAAAAAUUUGUUUUUAUAUAUUUAUGGACUACUUCCAAUUUCGUGACUCAGUACAGCUAAAAUUCGACGCUGGACACAACGUGGGAGCCAAAAGUGACGAAUAAGGAUUUGUCCAACCGGCAACCUAUUUAAUUAUUAUUAAAUAUCUUGUUAUUAGUUCAUUUAACUGAAAGAUUUACUCAUAUUUUAGAUCAUCACCGUGCUAAAAACAUAUAAGCUUUUUCUGUAAAAGUGCAUAAGGUAUGAAGCAAAAAUUACUAUUUGAUUUGUGCGAGU